UUUUUUGUAGAGAGUAAAGUGCACUACGUGUAGUGUAUGCAAGUACUUACGAAUAAGCAUCGGCUAAUUCCGUGCCAGCAGCCGCGGUAAUACGGAAGAUGCAAGUGUUAUCCGGAUUUAUUGGGUUUAAAGGGUGCGUAGGUGGUCUAAUAAGUCAGUGGUGAAAUCUCUUUGCUUAACAAGGAAAUUGCCAUUGAAACUGUUAGACUUGAGAAUGGACGAGGUAGGCGGAAUUCGUAGUGUAGCGGUGAAAUGCAUAGAUAUUACGAAGAACUCCAAUAGUGUAGACUGCUUACCAGACCAUAUCUGACACUAAGGCACGAAAGUGUGGGUAUCAAACAGGAUUAGAUACCCUGGUAGUCCACACAGUAAACGAUGAAUACUAACUGUUUGCGAUAUACAGCAAGUGGUCGAGCGAAAGCGUUAAGUAUUCCACCUGGGAAGUAUGCCGGCAACGGUGAAACUCAAAGGAAUUGACGGGGGCCCGCACAAGCGGAGGAACAUGUGGUUUAAUUCGAUAAUACGCGAGGAACCUUACCCGGGCUCGAACGAUAUUUGAAUACAUCCGAAAAGAUGUAGCUAGCAAUAGCAAAUACCGAGGUGCUGCAUGGUUGUCGUCAGCUCGUGCCGUGAGGUGUCGACUUAAGUGUCAUAACGAGCGCAACCCUUACCGAUAGUUACCAUCAGAUAAUGCUGGGGACUCUAUUGGGACUGCCACCGUAAGGUGUGAGGAAGGAGAGGAUGACGUCAAAUCAGCACGGCCCUUAUGUCCGGGGCGACACACGUGUUACAAUGGGAGAAACAAAGGGUCGCUACCUGGCAACAGGAUGCUAAUCUCGAAAAUCUCUCUCAGUUCGGAUUGGAGUCUGCAACUCGACUCCAUGAAGCUGGAUUCGCUAGUAAUCGCACAUCAGCCAUGGUGCGGUGAAUACGUUCCCGGGCCUUGUACACACCGCCCGUCAAGCCAUGGAAGCUGGAAGUACCUGAAGUAUGUAACUGAAAAGAGCGUCCUAAGUAAAUCA
rnacentral:rRNA from 1 species